rnacentral:tRNA from 1 species
GCUGGUGUGGCGGAAUAGGCAGACGCAAGGGACUUAAAAUCCCUCGGUGUAACAACCGUAUCGGUUCAAGUCCGAUCACCAGCACCA